CCUAAAAUCCAUCCUCUCCAUUAGAGUCUAGCAACCGACCCAACCCUUUUUCUUCUCCAAACCCGAUAAAUAACUUAAACAACACCGUAACAUCAUCUUCAACAACAAUAUCGAUCAACAACAACCUAACCACGAUAGCCAACAUCAGUGUUAACAAUCUACUUCAAUAAUGAUACAAACAAACAUUGAUAAUACCGGCAACAAUUAGAGUCUUUUAUAGCACCAACAGACAACAAUAACUUGACAACAAUAAUAUCAGCAAGAAGCAAUAAUUUCAAUGCAAAACCAAACCAAAACUCGGCGACCCAACCCAAUACCAGCUGCCUGUACCCGCGAUUUAGCUUUCUAAGGAUACCUCAUCAUCCUUUCAAUUUGAAAAUCAAAUUCUUGUACCAAAACAGUACAAUUCAGCUCACCCCUCAAUAAAAUCCCCAAAUCCCUUGAAUUUUCACUCCCACAUUGCCAAAUUAGUCAAGAAUUGGGAUUUUGGGGUUCUAUAUAAAUCCCCUACCUCUCAUUAUUUUAGGGGGGUUUUCAGAAUCAAAAAAAGGGGGCUAAACGUUCUUUUCACUCGGCUAGGAUUUUGGACUUCAUGUUCCCAGUCUUAGAGUUGUGAGAAUUGUAACUCAAGUGCCAUUUUCAUUGCUGUUUUUGCAUAAAGAAAGGUGGUGAAGUGAAGUUGUUGUUAAGUCAUCGUCCCGGUUCGCUGCCCACAAAAAGAUUCUAUUUUUUGCAUUUCUCAAUGGGCCAAAGAGUCCUACAUCAUCUUCGAGUCCAAAGCUUCAACCAAAGUUCAAAAUGGACCAAACAUAUGAAGAUACAAAAUUGUAUACAAAGAUUACAACAAAUAUACGUGGAAUACAAGUGAUAUACGAGGAAAGGAGUGCUAAUAUUCAGCUAGAGGAUCAAAUUGGGUGUAUAUGACUAAUUUUAAGUCAUGUGUACAUCAAUUAUAUAGAAAAAUGUGAAAUAAUUGGAUUGUGAUAUACAACUAAUAUACAUAGUUGAAAAGGAAUAAAAAAUAGGUCCAAAGAGCAGGCUAGAAUUGAAAUGAACUAAAAAGGGGCCUGAAUCUCAUAUUUUCUCCCUUUAUUUCCUUCUCUUAAUUCAAUUAUUUAUUUCUCUAUUGAA